GAGGAAUAUUGCACAAUGGGCGCAAGCCUGAUGCAGCAACGCCGCGUGAGGGACGAAGGCCUUCGGGUCGUAAACCUCUUUUCUGAGGGACGAGAAAGGACGGUACCUCAGGAAUAAGUCUCGGCUAACUACGUGCCAGCAGCCGCGGUAACGCGUAGGAGGCAAACGUUAUCCGGAAUUACUGGGCGUAAAGCGCACGCAGGCGGCAUCGUAAGUCCGACGUGAAAGCUCCCGGCUUAACUGGGAGAGGCCGUUGGAUACUGCGAAGCUCGAGGUUGGGAGAGGAGAGUGGAAUUCCCGGUGUAGUGGUGGAAUGCGUAGAUAUCGGGAGGAACUCCAGUGGCGAAAGCGACUCUCUGGCCUACACCUGACGCUAAAGUGCGAAAGCGUGGGUAGCGAAC
rnacentral:rRNA from 1 species